rnacentral:rRNA from 1 species
UACGAAGGGGGCUAGCGUUGCUCGGAAUCACUGGGCGUAAAGCGCGUGUAGGCGGCCCUGCAAGUCGGAUGUGAAAUCCCACGGCUCAACCGUGGAAGUGCAUUCGAAACUGCAGGGCUAGAGUCCUGGAGAGGAAGGUGGAAUGCUUGGUGUAGAGGUGAAAUUCGUAGAUAUCAAGCGGAACACCGGUGGCGAAGGCGGCCUUCUGGGACAGUGACUGACGCUGAGACGCGAAAGCGUGGGGAGCAAACAGGG